rnacentral:rRNA from 1 species
AAAUUGAAGAGUUUGAUCAUGGCUCAGAUUGAACGCUGGCGGCAGGCCUAACACAUGCAAGUCGAACGGUAACAGGAAGCAGCUUGCUGCUUUGCUGACGAGUGGCGGACGGGGGAGGAAUGUCUGGGAAACUGCCCGAUGGAGGGGGAUAACUAAUGGAAACGGUAGCUAAUACCGCAUAACGUCGCAAGACCAAAGAGCGGUCUCUUUUACACAUCUUACGCUGC